UAUGAAAUGUUUUUAUCAUUUAUAACUAUUAUUAAAUAAUUAAACAAACCCGUUUUUACAUUGUUCGUCUAUUUAUUGCUUAUGUGGCUCAUCCCGUGUGGCCUGCUCAAGAAAUCGAUUUUUAUACCUUUGCCGAGGGUAUUAUAAUUUUGGUCAAAAGUGUGCAACGCAGUGAUUUUUAGAAGUAUUUUUUAGAAGGAUACUCGCAACAAUUGUCUAUAUUUGCAAAGAAAGGAUAUAGAAUUAUUGCGAUUGCGUUCAAGGCUCUUGACCCAAAAGUUAACUACACAAAAAUUCAGCGGUUUUCCCGUGAAGAUGUGGAAAAUUAUCUUGAAUUUCUUGGUUUCGUUAUACUGGAGAAUCGUUUAAAGCCAGACACAACUGAAGUAAUUAAUACAUUAAAUGCGGCGAAGAUUCGAACUAUAAUGAUUCGAACUAUAAUGAUUCGAACUAUAAUGAUUCGAACUGGUGACAACAGCUAUCACGACAACAGUGUUGCUCGUGAUUGUGGCAUAGUUAACUCAUCUCAAGCAGUGAUUACUAUCCAUGCAGAUCCGGUUAACAGAUCUGAACACAAUUCUGAUGAUAGUAACCGUCAUAAUAUUAAAAUGAGUAGCGACCAGAAUAGAAAAUACCAGUUACAAUACACAUUAGAUACGGGCAGUAAUAUUUGUGCUUCACAUCAAUUAUCUAAUAAUGGUAAUUUUUUUUAACAAGAAAGCACUGCAAGUAACUGCAGCGCCGAGAGUACGAUGAAUCUUCCCCGAAUAACGUCAAGAAAUUCCUUCGAAAAUAAAUCUUAUAAAAAUUAUAAUGAAAGCGUUGUACGUUUAAGUAAUAGUUCGGCAAGUGUAGAGACCAUAGAUACGUGGACUCACAAUGAUACAACAGAUGUUCACGUAGAACUUGAAACGAACAUUAUGCAAGAAAGUAAAUGGCAGCAACAAUAUACAUUUGCAAUGGAUGGAAACACCUGGCAAAUUGUAAAAGAUCAUUUCCCCGAGCAACUUGGAAUUAUAUUAACACGCGGAUCAAGUUAUGCACGUAGGUCCCCUGAGCAGAAACAAGCUUUAGUUAUGGAACUCCAAAACGUUGACUACUGUGUAGCUAUGUGUGGCGACGGGGCUAAUGAUUGCGGCGCUCUAAAGGCUGCGCAUGCUGGUAUUUCGCUUAGCGAAACUGAAUCCUCUAUUGCAUCCCCAUUUACUUCCCAUAAUUCUACGAUUUCAGCGGUUAUAAAUGUUAUUAAAGAAGGCCGAGCUGCAUUGGUAACAUCUUUUGGUAUUUUUAAGUACAUGGCCGCCUAUUCGCUUGUCCAGUUCAUAUCUGUAAUGAUAUUGUAUUCAAUCGACUCUAACUUGGCAGAUAAACAGUAUCUCUAUGUUGACCUUGGGCUAAUUUCGAUAUUUGCCUUUUUUUUUGGAAAAACGGAAUCUUUUUUGAUGGAAAAUUAGUAAAGCAAGUGCCGCUUAGCUCUUUAAUUUCUACGACACCCCUGGCCUCGCUUUUACUUCACCUUGCUGCCGUCAAGAUUUUUCAGGUGACGGGUUGGUUUCACCUACAACAACAACCAUGGUUCACACCUUUUCAACAAACUGAUGAGGAAAAUUUAGGUUGUUAUGAAAAUAUACAAUGUUUUGCAUAUCUAGUUUUCAGUACAUAAUUCUGGCGUUUGUUUUUUCCAAAGGUGCCCCUUACAGAAAACCCUUGUGGUCAAACUUUUCUUAUUAUCACAGUUUAUUUGGCAAUUUAUCCCAGCGAAUGGGUAUCAAAUUUUUUUCAACUCAUAGUACCUCCAGCAAUGAAAUUUCGAUAUAUUAUAGUUAUUUACGGUAUUGCUGCAUUCGCAUGCCAUAUUUUUGUCGAGUCUUAUCUGGUUGAAUAUCUGAUAUUCAAAAAGUAUCAAGCAAAGCGUGAACAAAGUUGGACUACAUCGAAACAAAAAUGUAUUCGUUUGGAGUAUGAUAUUACCCAAAUUGGAAAUUGGCCGCCCAUCACUGAAAAAUAUGAACCGAUCGAAUCGCCUGCAUGGGAAGAAGGUCAGCCUAGAUAUAUUAGUUUAAUGGCGGAACAAAACCACGAUCCGCAGAAAACUUUAUAUCCAGGUUUUUGAAUCGUCGCUUAGAUAAUUUAAAGUAUACAAUUUUGUUAUACUCUAUAUAUAAAUUGCUGCGAAUGAAAUAUGUGUAUAUUAUAUAAAUUUUAUUGUAUAAAAAUGCGCACUAAAAACUUUCAAUGCACAUAAAUUAUUCUUGCUAGCAGUAAAGUACAAUUAGUUGUACUUCGGUCAUGGUGAUAUGAUGUACAAAAUUUCUGUUUUUUGGUUAUAAAUAAAAUAAUAUAAAUGGAAUGAUUAAAUAGAUUAAAGGUAA